rnacentral:rRNA from 1 species
CUCUACGGCCAUACCACCCUGAACAAGCCCGAUCCCGUCUGAUCUUGGAAGCUAAGCAGGGUCAGGCCUGGCUAGUACUUAGAUGGGAGAACACCUAGGAAGACCAGGUGCUGUAGGCG